AAUGAACUGAGCAUGAUGUGUAAGUGCCAAGUAAAGAUAAUUCCCUAUGUGAUGACUUAGAAGUAUUGUCCGUCCAUGAAAGCCGCGCCUAGCUAAGAUGGAUGUGUCCAAAUGCGAAAGGGAGAAUCACAGUCGGUAUAAUGACAGGUGGGAAUAGUUUUGGUUGGUUGGUUAUUGUUGUGUUUAAAUAUACUAUUUUCAACAUCGAAACUAAUCAUUUAGUAUUUGACAUUACAGUAAAUUUUCAUUCAACUUCAAUUAUCUUGCGUUUGAAAACAUCAUGUGUGAAGCUGUCAUCCCUAUUUUGUC
rnacentral:lncRNA from 1 species